CCAUUUCCAGUAACAUUGAACAAGUAUAGGCGAUUUCCAGCAGCUGUUGCUGUGAUCAUUACAUGUGGUGGCUCUAAUUCAAACUGGAGCAACAAUUACAAUGACUCUCCCUUCUUUGGGAUUUGCGAAUCUCAAGUCGAUCUCUGUACCACCUAGAUCAGCAAUUGACACAGGGACCUGUUCAACAGGUGAAAACAUCAAAAGUGGACCUGAUUAAGUUGUGAAUAAAUGGAUUCCUACCUCUUCCCAUUUAUCAGGCACGGAAAAAGUAUAAGGAAUCAUAGGACUCCAUCCAACACCAUGUCCACCUGACUUGUCAUCCGGUCUUCGUCUGUGUCAACAUGCAUUUUCCAGCUUAGAGACAAUCUUUUGUUGCAAUCCAAAGCUAUGAACAAUACCAAUUGACUUAACAGUCCAGGAACUCUCCCUGCUAGGAGACCUUGUUUAAUUACAGCAGAUCCCUCUCCAGGAAAAAGCAGUACUGAUGAAAUCAAAGAAGC